AAAAUGACUCUCGGCAACRGAUAUCUCGCUCUCGCAUCGAUGAAGAACGUAGCGAAAUGCGAUACUUGGUGUGAAUUGCAGAAUCCCGUGAACCAUCGAGUCUUUGAACGCAAGUUGCGCCCAAAGCCAUUUGGCCGAGGGCACGUCUGCCUGGGUGUCACGC
rnacentral:rRNA from 1 species